ACUCUCUUAGGUAGAAUCUACACUAAGAUUGGAACAAACUAGCAUGGACCCUGGGCAAGAAUGGCAUAAAUUUGUGAACUCUCCCAUCAUUUU
rnacentral:snRNA from 1 species